GAUGAACGCUAGCGGCAGGCCUAAUACAUGCAAGUCGAGGGGUAGAAGAGGCUUGCUUCUUUGAGACCGGCGCACGGGUGAGUAACGCGUAUCCAACCUGCCCCCAACUAGGGAAUAACCUUGCGAAAGUAAGACUAAUACCCGAUAAUUUCCUCAGAUGUAAUCUGACGAGGAAUAAAUAUUUAUGGGUUGUGGAUGGGGAUGCGUCUGAUUAGCUUGUGGGCGGGGUAACGGCCCACCAAGGCAACGAUAAGUAGGGGUUCGGAGAGGAAGGUCCCCCACAUUGGAGCUGAGACACGGUCCAAACUCCUACGGGAGGCAGCAGUGAGGAAUAUUGGUCAAUGGGCGGAAGUCUGAACCAGCCAAGUAGCGUGCAGGAUGACGGCCCUAUGGGUUGUAAACUGCUUUUAUACAGGAAUAAAGUUAGCCACGUGUGGUUAUUUGUAGGUACUGUAUGAAUAAGGACCGGCUAAUUCCGUGCCAGCAGCCGCAGUAA
rnacentral:rRNA from 1 species